ACACGGGAAAGGAGGUGGUUCGAAGAAUGGAUAUUCAGAGGACGCGUGAGGUGGCUGCCGGUUGAGCGCCACAGCCGUGGUGACCUACCACGGCACGCUGCAGAGGAUUUCCUCUCCGCGCGAGCGCUGAGCUAAUCCAAGGCAGUCACCCGGCCCCCGAGCCCCCGGUUUGUCCGACCGGGAACCGCGAUGAGACACCGUCUCCGCAGGUAAGGCUCGGGGGCCGUACCCG
rnacentral:sRNA from 1 species